CUGGUGUCCCCUCCAUGAUAUUGCUUGAAUAUUGCUAAAAGCGGCGUAAAACCAUACUCACUCACUCACUCACUCAACUAGAUGAUAGCUCACCUGGACAGCUGUUUUCCUCCUGACAGUCCGCUAGGUGAAAGCUCAACUGAAUCACAUGAUUCUCAGAUGUAGUCCUCCUGAAUGUCUCCUAGAUGAUAGCUCACCUGGACAAUUUUCGUGACUGUCUGUUCACUGACAGCUCACCUGUUUCAUGUGUUUUCUGUUAGGUGAUAUCUCACCUGGAUCACAUAUGGUUCUCCCGAAUGUCUACUAGAUGAUAACUCACCUGCACAAAUGUUGUCCUUACUGUACAUGUCUGUGAGGCGAUAGCUCACCUGUGUCAUGUGUUGUCUUCCUGACAGUCUGCUAGGUGAUAGCUCACCUGUGUCAUGUGUUAUCUUCCUGACAGUCAACUAGGUGAUAGCUCACCUGGAUAAUUGUUGUCCUCCUCUCUGUCGACUAGGUGAUAGCUCACCUGUGUCAUGUGUUAUCUUCCUGACAGUCAACUGGAUGAUGGCUCACCUGGAUAAUUCUUGUCCUCCUGACUGUUGACUAGGUGAUAGCUCACCUGUAUCAUGUGUUAUCUUCCUGACGAUUUGCUAUGUGAUAGCUCACCUGGAUAAUUCUUGUCCUCCUGACUGUUGACUAGGUGAUAGCUCACCUGUAUCAUGUGUUAUCUUCCUGACGAUUUGCUAUGUGAUAGCUCACCUGGAUAAUUGUUGUCCAACUGACUGUCUACUAGGUGAUAUCUCACCUGAAUAACUGUUGUCUUCCUGACUGUGGACUAGGUGAUAGCUCACCUGUGUCAUGUGUUAUCUUCCUGACAGUCAACUAGAUGAUCGCUCACCUGGAUAAUUGUUGUCCUCCUGUCUGUCGACAAGGUGAUAGCUCACCUGUGUCAUGUGUUAUCUUCCUAAAAGAGUACUGGAUGAGAGCUCACCUGGAUAAUUAUUGUCCUCCUGACUGUCGACUAGGUGAUAGCUCACCUAUAUCACAUGUGGUUCACCAGAGUGUCUCCAAGAUGAUAGUUCAUCUGGACUGUUUUGUCCUCCUGACUGUCUGCACAUUGUAAGGUCAUCCGCACAAUGGGUUGUAUUGGCAGUCAACCAGAUGAUAGCUCACCUUGUCAAUGUGGUACUCAACUUAACAUGUUUUGGCACUUUAUAGAAUCAUGCAUAUAUAUGUUGUUCAAUUAUAGCAUCUAUAUACUGAUUUAUAUACUAGUAGUCUGUGAAGGAACUAUUUACAAAUGGCUUUUAUACAUUCAUAUAUGUGAUUGUACAUAAUAUUUACAAAUUUAUACUUUGAAAGAAAUGUUUUCCAAAUAAAAGCCUUUAUUAAAUAA